GUGCUUGCUUCGGCAGCACAUAUACUAGAAAUUGGAACGAUACAGAGAUUAGCAUGGCCCUGCGCAAGGAUGACACACAAAUUCGUGAAGCGUUCCACAUUAAA
ensembl:snRNA U6 U6 spliceosomal RNA